rnacentral:tRNA from 1 species
GGGCGGUUAGCUCAGCUGGGUUAGAGCAUCUACCUUACAAGUAGGAGGUCACUGGUUCGAAUCCAGUACUGCCCA